GUAGGUUUACAUCUAUCUAGUCCAGGGCUCUCCAACCCUGUUCCUGGAGAGAUACCAUCCUGUAGGUUUACAUCUAUCUAGUCCAGGGCUCUCCAACCCUGUUCCUGGAGAGAUACCAUCCUGUAGGUUUACAUCUAUCUAGUCCAGGGCUCUCCAACCCUGUUCCUGGAGAGAUACCCUCCUGUAGGUUUACAUCUAUCUAGUCCAGGGCUCUCCAACCCUGUUCCUGGAGAGAUACCAUCCUGUAGGUUUACAUCUAUCUAGUCCAGGGCUCUCCAACCCUGUUCCUGGAGAGAUACCCUCCUGUAGGUUUACAUCUAUCUAGUCCAGGGCUCUCCAACCCUGUUCCUGGAGAGAUACCCUCCUGUAGGUUUACAUCUAUCUAGUCCAGGGCUCUCCAACCCUGUUCCUGGAGAGAUACUCUCCUGUAGGUUUACAUCUAUCUAGUCCAGGGCUCUCCAACCCUGUUCCUGGAGAGAUACUCUCCUGUAGGUUUACAUCUAUCUAGUCCAGGGCUCUCCAACCCUGUUCC